AGCGGCGGACGGGGGAUUCACACGAGGAUAACCUACCUAUAAGACUGGGAUAACUUCGGGAAACCGGAGCUAAUACCGGAUAAUAUAUUGAACCGCAUGGUUCAAUAGUGAAAGACGGUUUUGCUGUCACUUAUAGAUGGAUCCGCGCCGCAUUAGCUAGUUGGUAAGGUAACGGCUUACCAAGGCAACGAUGCGUAGCCGACCUGAGAGGGUGAUCGGCCACACUGGAACUGAGACACGGUCCAGACUCCUACGGGAGGCAGCAGUAGGGAAUCUUCCGCAAUGGGCGAAAGCCUGACGGAGCAACGCCGCGUGAGUGAUGAAGGUCUUCGGAUCGUAAAACUCUGUUAUUAGGGAAGAACAAAUGUGUAAGUAACGAUGCACGGCUUGACGGUACCUAAUCAGAAAGCCACGGCUAACUACGUGCCAGCAGCCGCGGGAAUACGGAGGUGGCAAGCCGUAUCCGGAAAUAUUGGGCGUAAAGCGCGCGUAGGCGGUUUUUUAAGUCUGAUGUGAAAGCCCACGGCUCAACCGUGGAGGGUCAUUGGAAACUGGAAAACUUGAGUGCAGAAGAGGAAAGUGGAAUUCCAUGUGUAGCGGUGAAAUGCGCAGAGAUAUGGAGGAACACCAGUGGCGAAGGCGACUUUCUGGUCUGUAACUGACGCUGAUGUGCGAAAGCGUGGGGAUCAAACAGGAUUAGAUACCCUGGUAGUCCACGCCGUAAACGAUGAGUGCUAAGUGUUAGGGGGUUUCCGCCCCUUAGUGCUGCAGCUAACGCAUUAAGCACUCCGCCUGGGGAGUACGACCGCAAGGUUGAAACUCAAAGGAAUUGACGGGGACCCGCACAAGCGGUGGAGCAUGUGGUUUAAUUCGAAACAACGCGAAGAACCUUACCAAAUCUUGACAUCCUCUGACCCCUCUAGAGAUAGAGUUUUCCCCUUCGGGGGACAGAGUGACAGGUGGUGCAUGGUUGUCGUCAGCUCGUGUCGUGAGAUGUUGGGUUAAGUCCCGCAACGAGCGCAACCCUUAAGCUUAGUUGCCAUCAUUAAGUUGGGCACUCUAAGUUGACUGCCGGUGACAAACCGGAGGAAGGUGGGGAUGACGUCAAAUCAUCAUGCCCCUUAUGAUUUGGGCUACACACGUGCUACAAUGGACAAUACAAAGGGUAGCGAAACCGCGAGGUCAAGCAAAUCCCAUAAAGUUGUUCUCAGUUCGGAUUGUAGUCUGCAACUCGACUAUAUGAAGCUGGAAUCGCUAGUAAUCGUAGAUCAGCAUGCUACGGUGAAUACGUUCCCGGGUCU
rnacentral:rRNA from 1 species